UACGUAGGGGGCAAGCGUUGUCCGGAGUUACUGGGCGUAAAGCGCACGCAGGCGGUCUCUUAAGUUUGGAGUGACAGUUGGUGGCUUAACUGCCAAAGUGCUUCGAAAACUGAGAGACUUGAGGGCUUCAGAGGGACACGGAAUUCCGGGUGGAGUGGUGAAAUGCGUAGAGAUCCGGAGGAACACCAAAGGCGAAGGCAGUGUCCUGGGGAGUAGCUGACACUGAGGCGCGACAGCGUGGGGAGCAAACAGG
rnacentral:rRNA from 1 species